AUUGAACGCUGGCGGCAGGCCUAACACAUGCAAGUCGAACGAGUGGCGGACGGGUGAGUAAUGUCUGGGAAACUGCCUGAUGGCGGGGGAUAACUACUGGAAACGGUAGCUAAUACCGCAUACCAUCAGAUGUGCCCAGAUGGGAGUAGCUAGUUGGUGGGGUAACGGCGCACCAAGGCGACGAGCCCUAGCUGGUUUGAGAGGAUGACCGGCCAAAACGGAACUGAGACAUGGUCCAGACUCUUACGGGAGGCAGCAGUGGGGAAUAGUGGACGAUGGGGGCAAGCCUGAUGCAGCCAUGCAGCGUGUAUGAAGAAGGCCUUCGGGUUGUAAAGUACUUUGAGAGGGGAGGCGUUAACUGCAGGAGAAGCACCGGCUAACUCCGUGCCAGCGGCCGCGGUAAUAC
rnacentral:rRNA from 1 species